AUGAACGCUGGCGGCGUGCCUAAUACAUGCAAGUCGAGCGAACAGACGAGGAGCUUGCUCCUCUGACGUUAGCGGCGGACGGGUGAGUAACACGUGGAUAACCUACCUAUAAGACUGGGAUAACCUCGGGAAACCGGAGCUAAUACCGGGUAAUAUAUUGAACCGCAUGGUUCAAUAGUGAAAGACGGUUUUGCUGUCACUUAUAGAUGGAUCCGCGCCGCAUUAGCUAGUUGGUAAGGUAACGGCUUACCAAGGCAACGAUGCGUAGCCGACCUGAGAGGGUGAUCGGCCACACUGGAACUGAGACACGGUCCAGACUCCUACGGGAGGCAGCAGUAGGGAAUCUUCCGCAAUGGGCGAAAGCCUGACGGAGCAACGCCGCGUGAGUGAUGAAGGUCUUCGGAUCGUAAAACUCUGUUAUUAGGGAAGAACAAAUGUGUAAGUAACUAUGCACGUCUUGACGGUACCUAAUCAGAAAGCCACGGCUAACUACGUG
rnacentral:rRNA from 1 species